rnacentral:rRNA from 1 species
AAUGAACGUUGGCGGCGUGGAUUAGGCAUGCAAGUCGAGCGAGAAGGUUUAAAAGAUACUUCGGUUGAUUUUUAAACUGGACAGCGGCGAAAGGGAGAGUAACGAGUAGAUAACGUACCCAAGGGUUCGGGAUAGCCAUGCGAAAGCGUGAGUAAUACCGAAUAAUGUCUCCGGACCAAAGAUUUAUUGCCCUUGGAGCGGUCUGCUUACUAUUAGUUUGUUGGUGGGGUAAAGGCCUACCAAGACUAAGAUGGUUAGCGGGUGUGAGAGCAUGGCCCGUCUCACUGGGACUGAGACACUGCCCAGACACCUACGGGUGGCUGCAGUCGAGAAUCUUCCGCAAUGGACGAAAGUCUGACGGAGCGACGCCGCGUGAUGGACGAAGG